UACGUAGGGUGCGAGCGUUGUCCGGAAUUAUUGGGCGUAAAGAGCUCGUAGGCGGUUUGUCGCGUCUGCUGUGAAAACGCGAGGCUCAACCUCGCGCCUGCAGUGGGUACGGGCAGACUGGAGUGCGGUAGGGGAGAGUGGAAUUCCCGGUGUAGCGGUGAAAUGCGCAGAUAUCGGGAAGAACACCCGUGGCGAAGGCGGCUCUCUGGGACGGUACUGACGCUGAGACGCGAAAGCGUGGGGAGCGAACAGG
rnacentral:rRNA from 1 species